rnacentral:tRNA from 1 species
CGGAGCGUAGCGAAGUCUGGUCAUCGCGCUCGGCUGGGGGCCGGGAGAUCGCAGGUUCGGGCACCGAUCAACCGAAGGUUGGAUUGGUCGCUGCCGCUCCGA